rnacentral:rRNA from 1 species
AUUGAACGCUGGCGGCAGGCCUAACACAUGCAAGUCGAGCGAGCGGCGGACGGGUGAGUAAUGUAUGGGGACUGCCCGUUAGAGGGGGAUAACUACUGGAAACGGUGGCUAAUACCGCAUAUUAUCGGAUAACCCAUAUGGGAUUAGCUAGUAGGGGAGGGAAUGGCUAACCUAGGCGACGAUCCCUAGCUGGUCUGAGAGGAUGAUCAGCAACACUGGGACGGAGACACGGCCCAGACUCCUACGGAGGCAGCAGUGGGGAAUAUUGCACAAUGGGCGCAAGCCUGAUGCAGCCAUGCCGCGUGUAUGAAGAAGGCCUUCGGGUUGUAAAGUACUUUUGGCAGGGAAGCGGUAUCUGCAGAAGAAGCACCGGCUAACUACGUGCCAGCAGCCGCGGUAAUUC